UCUCUCUCUAAAAUCGCUGCAGAAAUGGCGAUUCACUCCAAAACUUGAGUGAAUCCCUGGUUUUGAUUGCAAACAGUUGCUCAGUGCAUUACGCUGGUAGUGUAUAUGGUUUUUAACCUUGAUUCGUGAAGAUUUGCAACCAAAGAAUCAUACUGCUUGUAGGACGUCAGUGGUUUUCUUACAAGAUUUCGUCACCAUGUACUCGGCGAUCAUGAGGAAAUAUGUGAAGAAUCCAGUUAGGAGCUUUAGGGUUGAAGAAUCUGAUACAAAUAAGGUUAGGUUUUUUUGAUAACAUAAGUGUGAAUUCUGGUGGAUUGGAAGGUUUCAGUGAUACAGUUCAUGCUGCAUACCAGUUACCACCUAUUAAGAAGGUUAAUUUGACAUGGUUCAGUGACCCAGACCAUUUCUAUAUUGGUAGUAAUGAUGAAUUCUUUGAAAUGUGGGAUCAGGGAGUGGUUGAAGAUGAUGGGUAUAUUCAUCUUUACAUGAAUGUUACCAAAAGAAAAGUUCCUCUUAGUGAUAAAUGCCCUUCAUCUUCUUGUCUGUCAGUUUCAAAGAGUCUUUUUUCAACACCUGAGAAGGUGCAGAGUACAUCAAGAAUUCACAUUGAAAGAGGUGCAGCACCAGUCAGUAUUGACCCAUCUCUUUUUUUUAACACCUAAGAAGAGAAUCAUAUAUAGUAAAUCUCCUGAGCUACUAAGAAGAAGUCUUAGGAUGGUGCAGAAGUCAAUUGCUGCAGUCACUGGUAGUGUGAAUGGUAAGAAGUUAUUUGUUAAUGUGGAUGAUGAUGACACUGGAGUUGAAGAAAUAUCAGUUGAAUCAUGACAGGCUGAGUUGGAGUAUGAAAACAUACAACUCACAAAUACUGAAGAAGAUAUGUGUCAUCCCAUUGAUGACUGUAGAAGUCCAGUUGCCGAUGAUGCAGAAAUGGGUAUAGAAGUGUACACUGAGUUUGUGAACAACUACUUUGGGAGAUUAGACUCUUUUGAUUACUUACAUACACAACUAUAUAAGAAAAAUGGAAAUGCAGAUGAAGGCCACAAUGACAACAAUUGUGGUGUUGGUGAAGAGUGUGACCCAAAGCAAUGGUCUAGGGCCUUCUAUGACCAAUCUACUGCAUCUGAGCACACCAACAACAACUUCUGUGAGUCCUUCAACAACAUGGCUGGCCUAAUGAGAGACAAGCCCAUUUGUACUCUUGGAAUGAUGUAUGGUCAACUCAUUAUGGUAUGUUUUACAAGAGAAGAGCUGAGGCUGAUAAGUUGGAGCUUGGAACCUUGGUGCUAGAAGUUAUGAAGUUGAUAAAGAAGAUGGAGAAAUGCACAGCUCACCUGAGACCAAAUGGAGCAGUAUAUGGCAAGUUAUACGAGGUGAAGAACAUUGAAACUAAUGCUCUGUUUCAAGUUGAUAUUGUUGACAAGACUUGCAGUUGCAUUCAGUGGCAACUUAGAGGAAUCCCUUGCAUACAUGCUGUAUGUGUUUUGAUGGAUAUGAGAAUCAAUUGGGUUGAUUAUUGUGACAAGUGCUAUCUGGUUGAUGCUUUGAGAGCAACUUAUGCUCCUGAGAUGGGUUUAUUACUGGGCAGAGAAGACUGGGAUGAGGCUUAGUUAUGAGACCUCCUAUUGAUAUCAGAAAACCAGGGAGACCAUGUAAGAAAAGAAAGAGAGCUUAUGAUGAAGGUCACACUGAGAAGAAGGUUAGAAGUUGUACAAGGUGUAAGACAAUUGGGAACAACAUGAGAACAUGUGCUGGUGCACCUGUUGGAUCUAAUCCAAAAUCUAAUAGGCAAAGAACUAUGGUUGAAGGAGAAUCUCACUAUACUUCUUAUCCAGAUCCACAUGAUCUUAGUACCAGUAGGAGAGGCAUAAAGGAAACAAGAGGAAGAGGAGCUGCUUCAACAUCUACUACUGCUGCAUCAUCAUCUCAACCUACAGAUAGUGCUGCUGCUGCUGCAUCAUCAUCAACAAAUGCAGGAGGUAGAGGUUCAACAGGUACUAGAGGCACAAGAGGUGGUAUAUGAUAAAGAGGUGGUAGAGGCAGAUCUAGCAGUAUAGCACAGGUGCAUCAAACACUGUCACAUAGCAUUGCAGGUGUUGGUGGGAUGAGUCAAACACUAACUCAAACUUUCACAGUGCCAAAGAUUACAGUUCUUGCUGCUGCUACUCAAUAAGUCAUUUGGUUCUUGAUUAUGGUUCUUCCAUGGACACAAUUUAUGUUAUUAAACUAGACUACUUCUUUUGUUACUGCACCUGUUUUCAGAAGUAUGGAUGUUAUUUUAUGUUAUGUUAUGGUGAUAAUGUUAAUAUUCUAAGCUAUGUUAAUAUUCUAGAUUAUUUUGAUGUUUUCAGACAACAUGAAAUUUUCUUUUUAUUUAAAUUGUAGCUCAUUACAUUUGUAGAUCUCCUAUUUCUUUGCAUAAUUCUGCCAUCUUCAGGGAUGUUUGUUUUACAUUGGAUUUUGCUGCAUUGAAGACAACAACAGAUAGCCAUUGAAAAUCAAGACAGUUGGAGCAUUUGAGGGUUGUUGCUUCCAUGGAUAGUUGUUGAGCAUAUGGCUCUUGUCACCACAAGAAAAGAAGGAAUGUGGAGUUGGGAGUUGCACUUUCAUUGCUCUUUUUUGGUUUUUUGGCAUCUGCAAACCACUCAAAGUAUGAGCAUACUGAGCAUCUCAAGAACUUCUCAGCAAAAUGAUCUUCAGUUUGAGCUUUCAACAGCUUUCUCACUCCACAGCAAGGUAUAUAAAGAAGAGUGAAAAUCAUACCGUUGGGAACGGUCUGAUUUUCUGGCCACUAGUUUACUGCCACGUCACUAGAUUUCCACGUCACGGGGUAACAAACCACGUCAGUUUAGGUUAACUCCGGUUAAAAAGGGUUGGAUUAGGUUUGAGGGCAUUUUGGAGACAUUUGACACCGUUUUUUUCUAAAACUGUUAUGUCGCCCCAUGUAUGACUCUUCUGUAACUGAUUUAUAAAGUAUGAUCAAUUUGUAACCAGAUUAACAAAAGUAUGACCUUUUUGUAAUUGGCCUUUUUUUU